CCUACGGGGGGCAGCAGGAGGGAAUAUUGCACAAUGGGGGAAACCCGGAAGCAGCAACGCCGCGUGGAGGAUGAAGGUGUUAGGAAGGUAAACUCCUAUUGGUAGAGAAGAGAAUGACGGUACCUAACGAAUAAGCACCGGCUAACUCCGUGCCAGCAGCCGCGGUAAUACGGAGGGGGCAAGCGUUACUCGGAAUCACUGGGCGUAAAGAGUGCGUAGGCGGGGUAAUAAGUCAGAUGUGAAAUCCUGUGGCUUAACUCCAGAACUGCAUUUGAAACUGUUACUCUGGAGUGUGGGAGAGGUAGGUGGAAUUCUUUGUGUAGCGGUGAAAUCCGUAGAGAUCAAGAGGAAUACUCAUUGCGAAGGCGACCUGCUGGAACAUUACUGACGCUGAUGCACGAAAGCGUGGGGAGCAAACAGGAUUAGAUACCCUUGUAGUC
rnacentral:rRNA from 1 species